GUCUAUACAGGAGCAGUUACUUAAUAUUUAAAUGAGGCUGUCUCCUUAUAAAAAAAGAAGCUCAGAGUCUUGGUGACAUGUGUCCUGGGGCUAUCCUUUAAGAUAUGAGCUGUAGUGCAACGAGGAAGAUGAUGAUGGUGAAACGGUUUAACAUACCCUAACCCUAAGGUAAGUGAGCGCUCAAUAUUUGGUCAUGUAUUGUAUUGUAUUUGAAGUCCCCCAAAAAAUAAAAAUAAAUAACAGCAGGGCUAUUCAUAAAAGUGUAAAUUGCAGGAAUUCUAAAUGAUUUCAAAGUGAAUUUUAAAUUUGAAGCUAAAAGCAUAGCUGACGGUUUCACUUUGUACUAAGUUUCCCAAAACUUUUUUAUUUAGUUUUUUUAAUAGCUAUCCACCUUAAUGCUAUCUAAAUUCAAAUCAAAUAAUUUAGCUUCAACAUGUGAAAUGUGCUAUUCAUUCUGUCUGCUUGUCAGUUACAGGUGCCUAUGUUUUACAGUAAACUAUUUUGCUUUUGAAAUAUUAUUUUAUUUUUAAUGUCUCAGAUGGGAAAUGAGACCUUUUUUUAGGUUAUGCACAAAAGUGAGGGUUGUUGAGAAUUCAAAGGGAAUUUUAAAUUUAAGGCCACAGUGGCUGAAGUCAGUUAUGCUUCCAACUGAAUACCCUGUGUGUGUUUACUUAAGCAAUGUGGUUUGUUAAAACAGUGGAUUGUGCUGAACUGAAGUUGAAAUUUGCUGAAUUGUAGGACAAAAUGAUUGUAACAAUAUUCCAGCUCGUUAUUUUGACCUUAAUUUAGCAACUUCAAAUUGCCUUUCACUUUAUACCACUAAGGGUUCCUCUGGCAGUGGCAGAUUGUACACUUGCCUGUUUGUAGUGAUGAGUAAUUUGUGUUACUUUAUUUAUAACACAGAACUUAAAGGGUCAGUGUCGUGUGUGAAUCUUGUGUACAUAUAUAUUUUUAUUUAUAAAUAUUAUAAGUCUUACAUUUUAAAGAAACACUCUGUGUGACAUAACCACAGCUCUUCCCAGUUACAUGAUGAUAAAUAAUUAACUUGACAUUAUCUCCCCCAAGGCUAUAAUUAAUCGUGUGGUUAAGACCUGAUAGUAAAAAUAGUAAGAAUCAGACUGUGCCGAUAUCUCCCAUUGUUUUAUGCCCGCUUGAUAUUAUUGUGUCUGGUAUCUUGGUUUAAUCAUGGAUAUAACAAAAUAUCAGCUUGGUUGCAGCUUUCAAGUUAUGCACUCCUGACACUACAUAAAUAUGAAAUACUGAUGUUAAAUCUAUGUAAGCCGAUCCUGGCUGGGAACGGUUGUUCCCCAUGGUGGUCAUAGGAAAUAGCUGUAGAAGUUUGUGUAAUAUGAUAAACAUUUCUCUUUACAUAUUUAUUUGCAGGGGGCCUGCUCCAAAUGGUGAAUUCAACAGCAGUUUAAAUCAGCUGUGUCUCCUUCUGCCUUUGGUGCUAUGUGUGGGAUAUCAUCAUAUACUGUAAGUUUGUUAUAAGACACUACAGUAUAGAUGAUGUACUAUACCAAACCUCACGAACACCGGAUACUGUAAGAGCUCGAGCUACGGGAAGGCCUACUCUACUUUCUUCCCUUGACACAUCGGAACCCUAAGUAAUCAGUAUUUGUGUAGGCUUAUUUCCCACACCCCCGAGUCCCUUUUGUCUUUCUAGGAACACAGGAGAAAAAAAAAAGUAUAUAUAUUUUGUUAGACUGUUACAAUGUACAAUAAGCAAUCAUUUCUAGACAAUUGUCUGUUAGAUGUAAUAGUUUUUUCAUUUGCAGAUGUCUUAUAAAUAUUUCCAAAUGGUCAAAUACUAAGAAUAUAUUGUCUUAUGGUCAGUCAGUCACAUUAUCACCCUAGCUGGGUGCAAUGCCCUGUAUCAAGAGGUCAAUUAAAAGUUUGCUCACGGGGAAACGUGGGUAUGUUUGAGGAGCCUCUCUAUAGGCCGCAGCAAUCAGGUAUUCCUGUUUGUGUUGAAUUAAAGGGUUGGUUGGGCAGUGGUUCUGGUAAAAUUGUGAGAAACUGCUCUCUUUUUUAAUUAAAUUAUUUUGAUGAAGGUGUGUAGGUCAUGAAGAUAAAAGUAUACUGACAUAGCUAAUAUAAAAACAUACUGUUCUUCCCAGCAGCGGAGCUACGCCGAUGAUUGUGGAGUGUCGGUUAAACCGUUACCAUUACUGAGUUUAGUAAUGGUAAGGGUUCUACUGCUGCUCCUCUAUUCACCUUGAAGAUCGCCAGAAGAAACCAGGACAAAAAUGUAUGACUGCAUGCAAAAAAUGUUUUGUUUUUUCAUUCCUCUUUAGCAGAUAUUAACUUAAUAAAAACACUUGUAUCCAAUAAAAUCUAAUCUUAUAAAGUUUGUGUUUUCGGUUUGUUUGCCCACGGACAACUGUAUCUAAGCAAUCAGGGUUGGAAUUUUACAUUUUGAUAUGUGCACAAAGUGCCUAAAGC